GGGCCUGUAGCUCAGUUGGUUAGAGCGAUCGGCUCAUAACCGAUUGGUCGCCGGUUCAAGUCCGGCCAGGCCCAUCA
rnacentral:tRNA from 1 species